CGCCUCUCCUCCCUUCCUGCCACGCGGGCUGGGCCUCGUCCUAGGAAGCGGCCUCCCUGUGCUGCGCAUGGCUCGCGCUUGGCUGCUGCAGCAGCUGCUGCUAUCCCCGGCCCGGGCCCGCCUCCGAGCCGCCUCGCCUGCCUUGCAGAGGAUGGGCCUCUCCUCCGGUGGCGCCAAGUGGCUCCAGCCCCGCGGCCCAGAGAGCGGCAUCCAGACCUACAACAGCCUCAGCAAGAGCAAGGAGCCGCUGGUCUUGCGGAACCCCGAUGUGGUCACUUGGUAUAGCUGUGGACCAACUGUGUACGAUCAUGCACACCUUGGGCAUGCUUGCUCCUAUGUCAGGUUUGAUAUAAUUAGAAGAAUAAUGACACGUUUAUUUGGAAAGGAAGUGGUCAUGGUGAUGGGAAUUACAGAUAUCGAUGACAAAAUAAUUAAGAGAGCCAAUGAGAUGGGUAUAUCACCAUUGACUCUUGCCCGUUUUUAUGAGGAAGACUUUAAGCAAGAUAUGGCUGCCUUAAAGGUUCUUCCUCCUACGGUCUAUAUGAGAGUGACUGAAAAUAUUCCUCAGAUUAUUUCUUUUAUACAGAAGAUCAUUGCUAGCAGACAUGGCUAUGCAACCUCAAAAGGUAAUGUUUAUUUUGAUGUCCGUUCUAGGGGAGAAAGAUACGGAAAAUUGGCAAAUAUUUAUCCUGAUGCUCAAGAAGAACCAGUGGAUAGUGAUAAGUCCCAUGUGAAGGAUUUUGCUCUUUGGAAGGCAGCCAAACCUCAAGAGAUGUGCUGGGAUUCACCCUGGGGCAAAGGGCGGCCUGGCUGGCACAUUGAAUGUUCAACCAUAUCCAGUUUAGUGUUUGGAGGACACUUAGAUAUUCACACUGGUGGGAUAGAUCUUGCGUUUCCCCAUCAUGAAAAUGAAAUUGCUCAAUGUGAAGUUUAUCAUCAGUGUGACCAAUGGGCAAAUUAUUUUUUACAUUCUGGACAUCUACAUGUUAAAGGGAGUGAAAAAAUGUCAAAAUCACUCAAAAACUACAUUACUAUUAAGGAUUUCUUGAAGGAGUUUUCAUCUGAUCAGUUUAGAAUGCUUUGUUUGCGGAGCAGAUAUAGGGCAGGUAUAGAAUACAGUGAUGACCACAUGAGCGAGGCAAAGAGCAUCCUUCAGAUAAUCUAUUUUUUUCUGAGUAGUGUGAAUGCCUACAUGAAAGGACAACUUCUCUGUGAAGACAUUAGAGAAGAUGUACUGUGGGAAAGACUUGCUCACACUAAAGCCGCCGUAAGGGCUGCCUGUGCCGAUGACUUUGACACCCCCAGGGCUGUUGGUGCAAUUAUGGACCUCAUUCACCAUGGCAACAGACAGCUUAAGGCCGUCACUAAGGAAACUGGAUCUCCUCGAAGUGCCAUGGUAUUUGGAGCCAUUGUUUCCUAUAUAGUGGAAUUUCUUAACACUGUUGGGAUUGCACUUUCUGAAGGAGAGGUCACUCCCGAAAACAAACAUUCAGCCAUUCUUAGCAGCGUGAUAGAUGAAUUGGUAAGCUUCCGAACCAAAGUACGCAAUUUUGCACUUGCUGCACCUGAGGCAACUGGAGGAGAUAUGUCAGCUGAACAUGCUGUCCCAUCGAAAGAAGCAAAACAGCGACAGAAAGAGGAAAGACAGAGACUGUUGAAGGAGAGAGAGACCCUUCUGCAAGCAUGUGAUGACUUGCGUCAAGACCUAUCUCUGUAUGGCAUCACUAUAAAGGAUAGAAGCACAACUUCUACAUGGGAACUCAGAGAACCAAGUAAAGAGCUGGAAAACAGCUAAUGUAUGUACAGAUGGAGUGUUUUAAAACAGAGAAUAAUCUUCCUUGAAUUAUCAGACUUCAUAUUGAAGCAGCCUAAAUAUGUGUUCUGAUUUUUGCUUUAAAAAUUGAAAUCCAGAAGCUUUGUCUGUUUUUUUUUAAGAUUGGUGUUGAGGGUGGCCAGAACAGAGAACAGAUAAGAGAUCUGUUCAUCUAGAGCCAUUAUUUUACCUGUUUUCUUUUUGGACAAUCUGUGACACUGUGUGCUUUGCCACCUGCAUGAAAUUUAAACUGUUUCAAAUCAUUUUUUUUUAAAGCAACCACAAUUUUUAUAAUGAAAUUAUAAUUGCUAGCUUAGUGACACAAAAGGUGAGUUGCAUAUGUGGGUUUUAAUUUUCACCAUGGUAGUCUGUAGCCUUCUGUGGAAAUGAUGUAUAUAGGGGUGGGUGGCAGUUUUGAUGUGCCUCUUAAGUGUUCAUGCCUCUUGAAAAGCAAAUUUGAGAACAGCACAUCUUAAAGAUUUAUUCUGAAGUGACAAGAAACAUCUGAGAGGCAGGAUGCUCAGCCAUAGAUCCUUUUAUAAGAAGUGCAAAGUUUGACUGGCUAAUGUUAAUCUUAUGUCAUACAAAUGUUUUACAAUAUCGUCAUUUCAGCACUUGCAGGUUCAAGGGUAUUUAGAAGCUUAAAAUAGCUGGCCUCAUACAGUCAUUUUAAACAUUAUAGAUUGGCCUCUGGCAGAUCUCCAAAAAUUCCUAAUGUUAAAAAUUCAAAAUAACCUUGAGAGACCUGAGUCAGAGCAACCCUUUCAACUACUAACAAAAUUCUGUCUUCUGUCUAUGAAUGAAACCAUGUUCUGUAAGAACAGAUUCCAUACUUUUAACUGGUUUUUCCCUCAUACAAGGAAACUUUACAUAAUAGUAACUGACAAACUCUAGAUAAACUCUAGUAGAAUUUGAGGUUGAAAGCACCAUUUUUAAUGCUUGGGAUGUAAAGCUGCAACAGACUGGGCACUGCUGGACACUGCCUGUCUCCCAACAACAGCAAACCACAAAAACGACUUGAAAAGAAUGUAAAGAGUAGAAAGCAGGACUGAAGUCCUGAGGAAAACGUAAGGCUUGAGGGCCUGUAUCAGGAGAUACACACAUCUCAUGUCUUUACAUCUUUAUAUUUAUGCCCCCUGUCAAAAAAACACAAACCUUGUAAGCAGUCCAACCCCUCUCCAAAAUUAGCUAUUUCUGUGUUGUCAGAAAGUGAGGAGUAAGUUGGGAUUACUUGAGCUGCCGUAUUUCACCGACUCGAAGACACAGGGUUUUUAAAAUCAAAAUCUAGGCUCCCAGAACGGGCUAUGUCUUACAACAGAUGGCAUCCUAGAGUUGUCUGGGUUUUUAAAAAUUAUGUGCUUUGCUGCCAUGACAGUUGCAGCUUGGGCUAAAAAAACUGUUAUUUCUAUUGUUUUUCUAAGCAAAGCAGCAAAGUGCUUAGCAAGUGUAUAACCAUCUUUAGGGAGCAAGGCUUCCUUAAUUCUUGAAGUGGAGUUACCAGAGCUGUAUUUCAUUAUCUGCAAUCCCUGAUCCUGUUGUACACCUCAAAAUGUCAAAAUGAUUGCAUUAUGAAGCUGUCUUCAAAAGAAAAAUGAUUGUGAUGUCAAUGAGGUAAAUGUCCGUCAUUGGCUAAAGUAUUUUGAUGCCAUUUUUUACUACAGAGUAUCCACAAAAUGUUUUACGGGACCCAAAAUGGCAAAUUUCCUUAAGUGGAUGAGUGUGGGAGUGAUAGAUGUGCAGCACGCAUGAGCAAAAGGAUUGCCCAUUAUUAGGCAAUCAAUGCAAUUGAAAGCCAUUGAGAUUGCAAAGUCCCUUUGGGAUAAAAAUAAGUUUUUAAAGGCGGUCAGGACUGGCAUGACAGACUCACAUGUCUUGUUGGGUUAUCACUGAGGCAUCGGACAUCUAUCUGUCAAAAAAGCCUAGCGGAUUUCCAAAAGAAGAUGAUUAACUUCCAGUUAUUGAUUUAUAGAAGGCAAAGAAAAUACGGUUUCAGUCAAAUUGGAAGUGCUGAUGAAACUUCAGUAUUUAAAAAUAAUCUAUUUAUUCAUCAGUAUAAGUAUUAUACAAUUUAUAAAAACAGUAUUUUAUCCUCUUUGACUUAUAUCACUAUAUAUGUCAAUUUUAAACUAUUUUUCCCUACCUGCCAGAUUGAAAAACAAUAAGCAAAACAAUAGAUUAAAAUUGACUUUCCACUUCCUGCUUCAAAGCCACGAGGGGGGAAAAGUGUUAUGAUCCUGUCAAUCUAUCAUUUUAGACAGUUUCUUUAUUCUAUCUUAUCUUUUUUUUUUUCAAUCUUCAAACCCAUAUAGUCUUUUUUUAUUCCUAGAAAUUAUACAGGUAACAUAAAGGGUGCUAAAGAAGUUAACAUAAUCACCACUGGCUACGAAAAAUGGCACAUCAUUGUCACGUUAUGUUGUCACAGUUGGCACCGUAUUUAAUUUUAAAUCAGAAAAAUGUAUCUAAGAUUGAGACUUUCCUUAAAGAUGUGAUUGUGAGGACAUAGAAAAAUGGGUGGAUGACAGCAAAACACAUGGAAGACGGGCUGAGUGACAGGCACCCUUGAAGUCUUUGUCACCCACAUAACAUGUUACUUCUGCAUGCCUUCCAUGGACAUUUGUCAGAUUUAGGUUAGAAAGAGAAUCAAGGAGAAAGUGACUUUGCAGUGAUUCCUGCAGCUAUUUGAUUAUCCAGUUGCAGCCACUUGAUCUUUCGAUGAACAAGCCGUUCAAGGAUUUUAAAAAACAAAAAAAUUAAUAUGAAUCCUGGCUGUCAACUGACAACCUUCCUUAGACUCCCUCAGGGAAAAUCAGAGUGGCUGCACCCACAUUGGCUGAAUGGAUAUGUAUCAACUACCUGGAGGCAAACACCAGAAAAAAUAGUGGAGCCUCUUUCAAUAAAUGUUACGUCACUUAAGUUUUGGAUUAGGGGUGUGCAAUUCAGUCUGUUUUCGGUGUCCUGAAUUCGGUGGCCCUUUCAGUUUUUCAGGGCUGAAAUCCGCAUUUCGAUCCAGCAACCGAAAGAUCCAGGAAGAUCCGGCCCAUUGGCAGCAAUGGGGAACUUAUGAGAAUCCUCUUUCCAUCACUUUUAGGGCAUCAGACUUAAGAAACCCCCGUUUCUGGGAUUGUUUCUUCUUAUAUCUUUUAAUAAGACCUGGAUUAAAGGCAUCCGUCUCAAGAAACCACUCUUUCUGGGAUCGUUUCUCCUUAUAUCCUUCAAUAAGACCUGGAUUAAAAGCACCAGUCGAAAGAAAACCCCCUUUAUGGGAUCCAUUCUCCUUAUAUCCUUCAAUAAGACUUGGAUUAAAAGCAUCGGUCUUAAGAAACCCCCUUUCUGGGAGUCUUUCUUAUAUCUUUUAAUAAGACCUGAAUUAAAGGCAUCAGGCUUAAGCACCCAUCCUUUCCGGGAUUGUUUGCCGUCAGCACCCUUUCCAUGAAGCGGAGUUAAACAUUUUAAUGGGAAUCACACCACCUGAAGGAGCUUUAGCCAUUCUUUAAAAAAAGAUAUAAAUUACCUCCUCAUUUUAUAGCGGCUUUAGAAAUUGUAAGAUACCUAUAUCCCACAUUUGAAGCUUGCCUCUUGUGAAGGGUACUAUUGGUGGCAGAUUACGUGUGUAGAAAGUAACCUGCUUUACUAUUUGAGUCAAAAAGCAAGCCAAGCCACGCAGAGCUGAGAGUGGCACUGAGAACUUAGAUCACAGAUCUCUCUCUCAGAAGCCUGCUCACAGCGCCUCUCUGUGCUCCACGUGUAGCCAAAAGAAACUGAAAGCAGUUGAUUUCGGCAGCUACAUGGUCUGUUACGGCCAGAAAAAAAAUUGUGGUGGAGUCUGUGCUGUGAUGGCAGGCCGAACCAGCUGAAGCCCAUUUUUCAAAAUGGAUCUGUACACAGCCCUACUUUGGAUGGCUUCUAAAGAUGAUAACUCACAUUUGGACCGUGAUACUUCAGCCCCGGAUGAGAACUGCUAGUGAUUCUGAAAAAGGAGAUGAAUGAACGAUUGUGGGUUAGACGUAAAUGAUCAAAAGAUAAAUAAACCAUCAUGUGCCUUUGGUGUAAAAGUUGAAUGAGUUCCGCUCCUGUUCUGUUUUUCUAUAUUUUGUGUUUUCCUAUUAUUAAUUUGAAUUCUGUUGAUCUAUUGAGUCCCCUUGGGGAGAUAGGGUGGGAUGGAUAAAAAUAAAGUUUUAUUCGAUUAUUGUAAGUAUUAAAGAAUUAAAUAUAUUUCAGUAUGUCAUAUAAAAUUCUUUUCCUGAAACCAGAGCUUUAAAAUCAGCUGCAUCUUACUAUUGAAACUACCUCUCCCCCCACCCCUGCCACCCAGAAACAGCAACUCCAAAAUCAUGCUGCGUCUUAGAUUCAGUGGCAUCUUACAGUCAGUGAAAUAACAGUAUUUUCUUGUAGCUGUAUGCAUUGCAAGGAUGUCACCUGUACAGAGUUUGCAAGGAUUCCAGGUCCCUGUAGAUGUCAGUUUCAGGAAAAUAGCUGGAUGUGUCCCCCACUCAUCGCCUUGAUCUCUAGCCACAAGGAAAUGGUUAUGUUGGGGAAGACGUCUGCACUGAUUACAAGCAAGCAAGGCCCAAUGAGCCAGGACUCCAAGAGACCCUGAGAGAAGAUCCCCUUGUCCACCGCAUCUUCUGCUGCUUCCUUCAUGGCUACAUACAAGCACUGGAAGACAAAAAUGUAACUGGUGGAAGACAUUCAGCCUCUCUUUAGUAGAGCUUAUGACAGAUGAGAGAAGUAUUAAGCAAAUAUGCAUCAGAAGCACAGCUGACUACCAAUAUAUCAAAUUUAGGAAGGUUUUACAGAAACAAGAAUUAAAAUGAGAUAUUAGCACUGAAUUGUAACUUAUGUAAAGCUGUUUAAAUGUAAUGUUCGAAGAUACACCAACAGCAGAUACUUUCUUCAAGAUUCUGAGCUGUCUGGGUGACGUUAGCCAAACAAAGACAACAGAAAGAUAUUUGCAUGCCUGCUUCACAUUCUUAUGUCUGGGAAACAAAUUAUUCUUUUUAAAUGCCAUGUAUACCCAUUAACUAUUUCCCAUGUGCUCAUAUCAGCCAAGUAAACUACCUAUUUUAUCAUCAUAAUUCUAGACUAUUACUGGUCAGCUGUUAUUUAAAUAGAAGGAAAGGUAACAUAUGACUACAUACUUUGACAUGUGUAUUCUCUGCUACUCUCUCCUUUUAUAUGCACACUCUCAGGGCACUACUAAGUCCCUUCUCUUCCAUCCCAUUUGUCCUACAGGACAUAGUCAUGGUAUGUUGACCAUUUAUUUAUUCUCAAAAAUAAUUUUGGGCACAAUACUGAAUGAUAAAUGUAAGAAUAAUUUCCUGGGCAAAUGGAAGGCAAAGGGAAAAAUGAAGUAUCCUAGCAAUAGAAAACCACAGAAGUAGUUUUCUAUCAUCGCAACAGAGUUAAUCACUCAUUUAUCACCAUGUUUUUCAAUUUAAUGGUAUGUACUCCCAUGAAAUGUAUCUUGACUGAAAAACAUCUAAAUAAAUUAAAGUUGACCAUUUUGUCCAAUA